rnacentral:lncRNA from 1 species
ACCAUACAACCAGCCCGUGCCAAGCACUAGGACGAGAACCAUUACAAAAGAAACAAAAGACCUAGACUAGGCUAGUCUAUGCUCUCAUCCUGCUCGCCGUCCCCUGUUAAGGAAAAUAAAACUAAAGGGGUGAGCUAAAAGCUCAGUGAGGUUCCGAACAGAUAAUCAAACAAUCAAUUCAAUACAUUAAACAUGGAGUAUCAAUAAUUCAAGAAACAUUUACAAUGGAAAGCGAUCGUAACAUUCAUUAAAAGGAUACGGCUCACAUGGAGCGAUUCGUUCGUUCUUUCGUUCGCCUGUCAUUUCCCUUAUCCUUCCAACCAUUUAAAAUUGCAUUUUUGUAAGUAAAACCCUCGUUCGUUCGUUCGUUCGUUCUCCCCCAUCCGGACGUUGGCCGGACUACAAGGUAAUACUCGAGUAUACCAAACAUUCAUACCCAUGGUCACCAUAUUGCCCGAUCGAGUCCACUUCUGGCUCGAGUCGAUCGGUGACGAAGGGCAGGGCCCAAUUCAACCAAACGGCUUACAUUCAUGCGCAACGAGCAUUUAAUCAUUUAAUCAUUGAAAAUUUCACAUUCAUUUAGGUCGAGUGCGAUAAAGCACACGCUCGCCUAGAAAAUUCGUUUUGGAAAUCAUUGGAAAUAUUUAACACAUUAUCAAACAAUAACAACAAGUCAUGAAGUCAAGGAAGAUACAACAAACAAGGAACACCCACCUAUGUACUCAAAACAAUGUGCAAAAUAUCCUACCGGAUAUUAUCCUUAGUCACCGAGAAAAUCUAAAAUUAAACGAGAAUGAAUAUUACAGCUCAUCUAGCACAAACAAUUAGGUGAAAUCAACGAAACUCGACAAUUGAUGAGUAGAACGUAUAAAAAGACUUGAAAGUGAAACGAGAACAUUUGGACCCGUGGCCAAAAUAAUUAGGGUUUCAGAGACCAAAUGUAAAACCAAACUCAAAAGGGUUAUAAAAUUUUUCAAUGGAAACACUUGAACUAAAGGCAAGUCGGAAUCCAACUAGAUAGACUCAGAAAUAUUGUCUUGACUGAGAAAACCUUAAGUCAUACCUCUAUAUUUUGGUAUGAAGUAGAAAAUAAACAUUUGAAGUUUCAAACGGAAAAGGUAUCAUGUUUUAAGAUGGAAAACGGUCAUAGUAUUUGCCAAACGAAAAUAUAAAAGUUCAAAUAGAAGUUUAGCCCUCGAGCGAAAAUUUGGGCAGCACGCCCUUUGUAUUUACCUAUUUUCCAGUCAUUUAUGGCUUCAUUGUUUUUCUCAAGCAAUCUCAACAUUACACACAACAUAAAUAGCCACUCAAUAGGCUCAAGACAAUACAAGGACAAAAAUCAAGCUAAUAACAAGUGCGAAAAUGAAGUUUAACAAAAGACAGAUUUAAUGUGUUUUUCCGUAACGGACACAAUCGAGGCUACGCUUAUCGGAUUGAGGUGAAACUUAUACUGUUUCGAAGCUAAGGCAGAGAGCUACAACUUUGGUGAAGACCACUCAGUCCAUUUUACAAUGUAUCUAGGUCAAAUUUACCAAAAUAACCCCAGAUUUUCCAGUUCGAAGUUUACUGUGGCAGCCCUGAUUCAUUCAGUCAUAUCUCAGCACAUACAACUUCAAUUCAAGUGAUUCCAAAGUCAUUUGAAAGAUAAGAUAUAGGGCUAUAAUUAUUAAGAAGACGUUGACACCCAAAUCAGUAGUAUUUCCUGUCGAAACAACCAAUUACAGAAGCUGAUUAUCAGUUUCGGGUAAAUACAGGGUAGCAGGGGUAUUUCGGUCUUUUCACAGGAUACAUUGCUCCGAUUGGGCUGAAAUUUUGUAGGCAACCAUAAAAUGUUAUUCUCUACAAAUUUUAUGUUUUGUUCUAAGGCCAAUUCGGCCUCUAACAUUGUCAAACAGAAACGGGCAGAACUGGAACCUAGAAUUUCAGAAAUCUGGAUUCCAAGCAUAUAAGUGCUAAUCCUUACAAAUUGAACUUGAAACACCCCUACUACCUCCUAUAUAUGCUUAUAUACAUCAUAUAUCAUUCAUACAACAAAUAUGAGAAGGAAAUUAUUCAAACCCUGACUUAAAUACAUCAACCCCAAUCAUCCAAAUCCACUUGAUAUAAGCAUAACAAGCAAAAUUACAUGCUACUACACAACUCAAACAUGGUUAAGGGAAAAGAAAAGUUAGUCAACCAUUAUACCUCAAGACAAGAGCUUUCAAGAGUUAUCCUUCACUUCCCUUGGCAAAAUUUAGCUCCUUAAGCUUCCCAAACUUCCAAACUAAUGAUUAAUCGGUUUAGUUUUUCUUGUUUUCACUCAUUGAAGC